rnacentral:rRNA from 1 species
AAUAGAUACCCUGGUAGUCCUAGCCGUAAACGAUACUCGCUAGGUGUCGACCACGGUGCGACCGUUGUCGGUGCCGUAGGGAAGCCGUGAAGCGAGCCACCUGGGAAGUACGGCCGCAAGGCUGAAACUUAAAGGAAUUGGCGGGGGAGCACCACAACGGGUGGAGCUUGCGGUUUAAUUGGAUUCAACGCCGGAAAUCUUACCGGGACCGACAGCAACAUGAAGGCCAGGCUGAAGACUUUGCCGGAUUAGCUGAGAGGUGGUGCAUGGCCGUCGUCAGUUCGUACUGUGAAGCAUCCUGUUAAGUCAGGCAACGAGCGAGACCCACGCCCACAGUUGCCAGCGUACUCUCUGGAGUGACGGGUACACUGUGGGGACCGCCGCUGCUAAAGCGGAGGAAGGAAUGGGGCAACGGUAGGUCAGUAUGCCCCGAAUAUCCCGGGCUACACGCGAGCUACAAUGGUUGGUACAAUGGGUAUCUACCCCGAAAGGGGAUGGAAAUCUCCUAAAGCCAAUCUUAGUUCGGAUUGAGGGCUGCAACUCGCCCUC